CUGGGCCCUGUACCAGAAGGGUGUAGGAUCUCAGCAGGGCUCUGGCACCUCAGUCAGUGUUGCUUCUGGCCAGAGCUUUGGGUCGACUCAAGGCUUCAGUUCCCAGGCUGCCUCUAGGCUUGGUGGUAGUGGGUCUGUGAGCCCAGAGUAUCAGCUUAGCUCAGGUUUAAGUGUGAGCCCUGGAACAGGUUGGCUCAAGAAGUCCUUGCAGCAUUUCAUCCCAGGGAACUAAUUGUCCAGCUCGGAAUUGAUGGUUCUGCUCCUUUGGGUCCGAACUUGGAAGCUCUUCCUCUGACUUGUGUACUUGGCUUCAAAUAAAUGGCUUAAUGAACU